rnacentral:lncRNA from 1 species
UUCGUUUAGUUUUGAUUGGUUUUGAUAGACCGAGACAGUUCACGCGGCCUUGGAUUGGAAUAAUAGAAAAUGAAAAAAACAAGGCAAAACAAAACAAUUGAUGGCUGGCUGCUAAUCAACCAAGUUUCAGGAAAUGUAGUCAAAUGUAGUUUAAAGUUUGUAGGCAAUCUUUUGAUCUUAAAGUACAUGUAAUUUAUUUAUAAUAUUUUCUCCAACUUAUUCUUUAAUGCUUGUUUGGUUAUUUUGUAUCUAUUUAGAUUGUACACAGUGCCAAAGCAUCAUCCCCAGCAAUGUUGGAAUCACUUUCGCUCAAGUUUUUUCAAGAGUUUUUCUCCUUUGGCCAAUCCUUUACUAUGUUACUGAGACAAGAGAUCAGUUUGGAUUCCCCCUGUUAUUGAUUUCUUGGACUGUCACUGAAGUUCUUCGCUACCUUUACUACAUCUUGAAUUUACUCUCUACUGUGCCAGCAAUUACAUUGGUGCAGAUAUUUUUUUUCAUUAUCUUGUAUCCUAUUGGAAUAACUGGUGAGCUUAUUUCCUGUUACUGUGCUCUACCCUACUACAGCACAACUCAGGAAAUUUCAGUUUUACUACCAAAUAAGUGGAAUUUAACAUUCAACUUCUGUGCUACAGGCUUCAUUCCCAACAAUGUUGGAAUUACUUUCGCUCAAGUUUUUUCAAGAGUUUUUCACCUUUGGCCAAUCCUUUACUAUAUUACUGAGACAAGAGAUCAGUUUGGAUUCCCCCUGUUAUUGAUUGCUUGGACUGUUACUGAAGUUCUUCGCUACCUUUACUACAUCUUGAAUUUACUCUCUACUGUGCCAGCAAUUACAUUGGUGCAGAUAUUCUUUUUUGAUUAUCUUGUAUCCUAUUGCCCUAUUGGAAUAACGGGUGAGCUUAUUUCCUGUUACUGUGCUCUACCCUACUACAGCAGAACUCAGGAAUUUUCAGUUUUACUACCAAAUAAGUAGAAUUUAACAAUCAACUUCUUUUGAAAUUUUUUCGAGUGACAUUUGAAUAUUACCUACUCAUCAAACAGAUGAGAGAUCAUUUUGCUGAAUUCACCCUUCUGGGUUCUACGGAACAGCACGUGCGACAAAAGUUGUUCCAAAUAUUCCAUUAACGAACUGGCUUUCUUAACAACGCCGACCGUUACAUCCGGGAAGGUCAACGCCGUCGAUCCAAAGAAGCUCCCUUCAACCCAAUCAACGCGACUGACGUAAUCACCCUUGAAUCAGAGAAGAAAUAAAAUCCUCGACUAAUCGAAGAAGCUUUCAAAUUAGAGUGAAAACAACGAAUUAACUGGCUUCAAACGUAUCCGAGAUCAAAACAUUCAAAAAAAAGUCUAAUUAUCAAGGCCUUGCUUAUUACUGUAUUUGCCGAGGCAAACCCCAAGGAGGAAUGAUCGAAUGCUCGAUCUGCUUGUGAUGAUUCUAUCUUUUGUGUUAAGGAGGAGCGAAACAACAAGGUCCAGGGGCCAAAAAGAAGACAAAUAAUGAAGGCAAUGCGAUCAGCGGAAUCAAAGAUGGCCGUUACCUCUGUGGCUUUUUUGUCGUUCAAGACGGACUCGUCUUGAAACGAUCCUCUCGCGCUGAUGUGACGUUAUAAAAACUUCAUUUUCGAUUACCCGAGAGUGAAACUCUUCAAUAUGUCUCACAGAGAGGGCCAUGAACUGGCAGGAUCGACGCUGCUAUCUACUGAUGAGUUAACAGCAUGUUUGUCUCAAUUAUCUAACAUUAUGCAACGAGCUACUGACGCUUCUUCCCAGAAGAAAAUAUUGGUUAUAAGAGUGGAUUCAAUGAACUUCAAAAAUUGUCAGUGACCGGGGAGCACCGCGAUUUCUACAAUGGCAACGAAGAGUCACAGGACAGCAAUUGUACAACUAAAGACGGUAUUUCAGAAGUUGUCGAACAACCUCCAGCGUUCAACAACUCAGAACAUGCGAAUUCUUUGUUUUCUAAAGAUGGCUCGAAUUGUAUCACUUCUAACAAGAAGAAUUCACGCAAAUCUCCGUUAGUUCCUCGACAGCUAAACUCAUUCGUGUGGACAACGCCAUCAAACGUUUCAUCCGAUCUCAUCAUCAUCAUCACAUAAUGUUCCUCUUACAACUCUUUCUUCUCAAACUGCUGUAGAUCUCAUCCUCGAGGCUGAUUCACUCGAAGUGUCGCUCGACGAAACGGAUCCAUAUAGGAAGGAUUCUUCAGGAUCGAUUCUGCUAUCUACUGAAGAAUUCAACGGUUUCUGGUUGUUGGACUCGGUGCGGGGAAAAAAAAUGUAAAAUUAAAUCCACGAAUGAGUGUUCCUUGUUUACAGUGAUGUGAAAUAAAUGCAAAUCAUGAACUGA